UACGAAGGGGGCUAGCGUUGCUCGGAAUGACUGGGCGUAAAGGGCGCGUAGGCGGAUUGCUUUGUCAGACGUGAAAUUCCAGGGCUCAACCUUGGGGCUGCGUUUGAGACGGGUGAUCUUGAGUGGAGAAGAGGGUCGUGGAAUUCCCAGUGUAGAGGUGAAAUUCGUAGAUAUUGGGAAGAACACCGGUGGCGAAGGCGGCGACCUGGUCUUUUACUGACGCUGAGGCGCGAAAGCGUGGGGAGCAAACAGG
rnacentral:rRNA from 1 species